GUUUUAGUCGUUUUUAUGGUUGAAUACAACAGUGGUUUUUCAGGCCAAAGGUCUUGGUUAAAGUCCAAGUAAAGAUU
rnacentral:tRNA from 1 species